rnacentral:rRNA from 1 species
GAUGAACGCUGGCGGCGUGCUUAACACAUGCAAGUCGAGCGAAGCACUUUGCUUUGAUUUCUUCGGGAUGAAGAGCUUAGUGACUGAGCGGCGGGCGGGUGAGUAACGCGUGGGUAACCUGCCUCAUACAGGGGGAUAACAGUUAGAAAUGACUGCUAAUACCGCAUAAGGCCACAGCACCGCAUGGUGCAGGGGUAAAAACUCCGGUGGUAUGAGAUGGACCCGCGUCUGAUUAGGUAGUUGGCGGGGUAACGGCCCACCAAGCCGACGAUCAGUCGACGGCCUGAGAGUGUGGCCGGCAACAUUGGGGCUGAGACACGGACCGAACUCCUACGGGAGGCAGCAGUGGGGAAUGUUGCACAAUGGGGGAAACCCUGAUGCAGCAACGCCGCGUGAGCGAAGAAGUAUUUCGGUAUGUAAAGCUCUAGCAGCAGGGAAGAAAAUGACGGUACCGGACUAAGAAGCCCCGGCUAACUACGGGCCAGCCGCCGCAGUAA